GGUAGCUAUGGCAAUGUCGUUGUAAAAUAUAUAUAUAUAUACAUAUAUAUAUAUAUAUGACUAGGCAUCAGCAAUAUCUUUUUUUUUUUUUUUUGUACAUGGAGUUGGAUGAAUGCUGCGAUGAUUGAGCAAUUCGGUGUGUGGGCUCCCUCUAGUGGUUAAAAGAAUAAUUACUGAACAAAUGCUGCAGUGGCUUCAACAUUUAUGUACCAUACGUUUCAAGUAAUUCAGUACAGUUUUUAAUGCUCAUGUUCAAGCUGUGCAUCGUGUUACAGUAUCUUAAUAUUCAAUAUACUUUUUUUAGAAAUAAAACAGCUGCCUCGUUUUUUGUAAACGCUACCCACUAUGCAAUAUAUUUCAAUUUUGGGCAGCAUCGUGGUACUUGGAUAGCGAAGUCAUUUUUUUUCCAUGAUAUUUGAUCUACAGUACUUAUGAGUGUCCUUAAUACCUUAAUCAAAUUGAUGAAAAAAUGAUUCCAUUAGCCUUCUCAGUUUUCUUUCUUGUUCUGUUUGUUACUCACUCUACUGAAAUGACGACAGCGUCCAGCUCCUCCGCCAUCUUCCGGCACAGGAAGUCGUAUGAUCGCAUUCCUGUGGAGGAGGAUGGGUCAUGUGAUGUCAAUCAUAUCUAGGGUCAGUUGUGAAUUCAUUGCGGACCCUGACCGCUGAUCACUGGUCAUUUGCAACGUUAAUUUCUGCUUGUCCAUUUUUCCCACCCGGAGCAACAGCGCCCUCUGCCGCACGGUCAUGGUAAUACCAUGGCCAGGAGACAACCGCGCCCAGCUGGUUUCUGCCCAGCGCCCACCCUCCUCCGUGGAAGUAGAGGACCCCUCUUUUGGGCCACCGUCCCCCCGUGGCCUGAAAGAUGCGAGAGGGCACGCCCCCCAGCACACCAUCGCGGACAAGCAACGCGGCGCUGGAGCGAGCCUCGAUCAACUCGACCCACGACACCACCCGGUUGAGCAGGUGCACCUGGUGGCACAGGCCCAGCGCCUGGGCCACGUCGCCCUGGGGGCACAAAGCACAGGUGCCCCAGAGGGCGGGCGGGGGGGAUAGGACGUUAUCCAGGUGUAUUAGGAAAAAGUAAUUGAAAGGAAUCGGGGUGUGGGAGCCAGUUGAGCUGCAUUCAAGUAGAACAAGUCCGUGACGUUGCACAAAGCUCUUUUCAGUGAGUGAAAUACUGGUGAGAUGUUGCACGACUUUGAAGCAAACUGAAUAAUAAAAAAAUAUGGAGUUUUAUAUACAUGUAGU